GACGAACGCUGGCGGCGUGCUUAACACAUGCAAGUCGAGCGGAAAGGCCACUUCGGUGGUACUCGAGCGGCGAACGGGUGAGUAACACGUGAGUAAUCUGCCCCUGGCUUUGGGAUAGCCACCGGAAACGGUGAUUAAUACCGGAUAUGACAGCUUCUCGCAUGAGUGGUUGUGGAAAGUUUUUCGGCCAGGGAUGUGCUCGCGGCCUAUCAGCUUGAUGGUGAGGUAAUGGCUCACCAUGGCUUCGACGGGUAGCCGGCCUGAGAGGGUGACCGGCCACACUGGGACUGAGACACGGCCCAGACUCCUACGGGAGGCAGCAGUGGGGAAUAUUGGACAAUGGGCGGAAGCCUGAUCCAGCAACGCCGCGUGAGGGAUGACGGCCUUCGGGUUGUAAACCUCUUUCAGCAGGGACGAAGCGCAAGUGACGGUACCUGCAGAAGAAGCACCGGCCAACUACGUGC
rnacentral:rRNA from 1 species